UGUCUGUUUUUGUUGAUUUUUAUUGACAUGGUUCCAUUUGCCCAAUUGAGCUCAAAUUUGACAUGGUAGACCUUGAAUAUCCCCUGUUUAGGUGUAAUUUAUUUGAGAUUUUUUGGAUUUGUUUUGAUGUGGAUUUGAAUGCAAUAGUUCUGUUUGCAUGUUUGGUGCUUCAUUUGAACCAAUGUGGAUUGUUUUGUGCAUAACAUGAGCAUGAUG
rnacentral:lncRNA from 1 species